UCAAGGUCUAUCAAAUUGCAUCAUCUGUUACAAAUCCAUUAGUUACCAAAUAUCUUAUGAGCCUUCUUCACGAACACUUCGAUUCCUUGCCUUUUCUGGACUCAAAUGGAAGCCCAAUUCGUGUUCCAUUAAUGAAGCUUUUCACUUCCAUGGAAGAUUUUUCAGCUCACCUUUUGGAUGGUGCCAUGCAGCGAAGCAUUAUUGGAUCUUCAAAUGGCGAGCUGCUGGCUCAGAAACAAUAUGAAAUUUUACGCAGAAAGGAGUUCGCUAAUGUAUACCUUCCAUACGGAUUUUAUGCUGGAAGGUAAUAUUAACUAAUUAAUUUGAGGUUACUGCAUCAAUAUAUAACUCUAUUAUAAUUAUUAUUUGGCCUAAAGUAUUAUUAUUUUUUCAUGCAUGAUCUCCACGUGCCAGGUUUGAUUGCAGCAACACACUGGGGCUAAUGCAGAUCAUGAAUGAAGAAGAGAAGAAAAAGUUUGGAUUUGACAUGGGGAGCAUUGAUUGGAAGCAUUACAUUACAAAUGUUCACGUACCAGGCUUAAGGAGGCAUGUCAUGAAGGAAAGGAGACGGGAGAAGAGGGUGGGAGCUGAGAAUAAAAUUCCGGGGGGGCCAAAAUUUGAUAAAAGUAAACUUUAAGGAGUAAAGAUUAAAAAAUGCAUUUAAUUAUUGGGUUAAACUGCUAAAGUAUUAAACUUACGGGGGCCACAUUAAAAAAUUAAACUAUGUUCUCUGAGAUGAAUUUAUUAGCUCCGCCCAUUACGGGAGAUAUCUAGCUGCUGUUUAAUGACCAUGUGAAUCAUGUUUAGUCAUGUUACUACUUUACAUUAAUAUUUUGAUUUUUAAUAAUAAAUAGAUAUUAUGAAAUUUAUUUUUAUUAAAGGGAAAUAAUGAAAAAUAGGCCCUUCAAUUAAAAAAAUAAAUUAAUAAAUGCCAAUAAAUUGAUAAUGAUAAUUUCUAUAUUUUUGAUGAAUUAAUCCUCAUUGUUACGCAUUUACUCUAAAGGUGGUUGAUUUGAGUGAGUUAUUGGAGAUUUGAUGCAUCUUUGGUGACCGGAAGAUGCAAUGCUUUUGGUCUAAUUGAUGUUUGGGCUAUAGAGGGAUUGAUGAAAAGGAGAAGAGGGCCGUUAGAAGAGAUACUUAACCAUAAUUAUGUAUUGAAUUUAAUUAAAUGUAUGUUAUUAUAUAUGUUAUUGUGCGCGACAUAUCACAUUUUACCGGAUUAUUAAUCAGAUUGUAAGACGUUAGUCAAUAAUCAAGUGACACAUGGUCAUUGCACAUUAUACUUGGUUGGGACUCAUUUACAAUUUCUGGGCAGUCCAAAAGAAUAAGAACUAAUGAUAAUAAUGAUUAACAUGUUGAUUUAAUGUAAUGAUAACAUAAGUAAUCUGCGGGGUGGAGACGUCAAUCAUGGAGAAAAGCGGUCAUGUAGACCUCUGACGUAUCUCGACUGCUGAUGUGUAGACGUGUAGUCUGGGUUUGACUUUAACCAAUCCAGCUCAUUUGUCCUGUAACAUAUUUAUUUAUUAAUUACAUUUUAUGUCGAUUUUUUUUAUAUCAUUAAUGUCAUAUACAAUUUGCUUGUACGCGUAGUAUUCAAAAGCGCUGACUGGCCUAUUUACAAGUGCUGUGGUAAGCUCUGUUCAGGCAGAAAACAAAGAUGGAAUAACUGUUUCGGAUUUUAUUUCCUGUCUUCUUAGAGAUUUUGGGCAAACAAGUGGACCGAGUAGUAGCCAGGAGGAUAUUAGGACCUCAGUAGCUUGGGGGGACAUUGGAAAUGCUGUCCCACAUUUAUUCACAAGGAAUCCAGGAUGCUGUACCAUGUAAUAACUAUUGACUUAUUCUUCUUUUCCUGUUGUUGUGUCCGUUUUGAAAUAUUUGAAUAUCUUUAUAUUUACUUUUGUUCUUUCUUCAGGAUUGGGCCCAUGAAUAAGGAGUAUAGGCAGCGGAAGUUUGCUGCAUCUAUAAAAUGUAAAAGACCAACAAAAAUUGUUCGGCCUGCAGAGGUAAGAGUUUUGUAAUUCAAGCUUCCGUGUUAGUUAAUAUGAAAUUAUUGGCUUUAGUUAUUUGUUAUCUCUCUUGUCUUACUUGAAGAUUACUUUUCCUUGGAGGCCUUGUACAAGUUAAUGAGCUUUCCACUACCCUUACAAGCUGUGUUGAUUGCGAUAUGCUUUGCAUAUUCUUACAUUAUUUGUUUAAGAGUUCCAUUUGGAUUAUAUAUGUCUAGUAGUUUCUUCUGCCUUUUUCCCCUGCUGCAAGAUUGAUCAAUAUUUUAAAUUUGGUGUAACUUUUGUGCAGGUUGAUGGUACAGCUACGAAAGAGAGAAUAGAUACCGAUAAAAAUAUGUUAACCAUGUUUAAUAUCUUGAGGAAAAACAGAAGAGUCAGACUUGAGCAUCUGGUAUUGAACAGAAAUUCUUUUGCACAGACGGUGGAAAAUUUAUUUACCCUAUCAUUUUUAGUUAAAGAUGGGCGGGCUGAAAUUGUAGUGGAUGAGAAAGGGUUUCAUCUAGUAUGUAAGAUCUUCUGCAAAUACCUUUCUUUUGUCUCUUACAUAAGUUCUUUUCUUUUUUAUUAUUUUUUAAUAACACUUACAACUUUUUCCCAUUUUCAGCACCAAAGAAUGCUCCCUCUGCCGAUGCUGUUGCCUCUAAGGUGGUUUCUUACAACCACUUUGUCUUCAGAUUUGACUUUAAGGAUUGGAAGGUACUUUGGAAAAAAAUAAAAAUAAAAAUUGCUAUGUGCUCUACAGUGAGAUUGUGUUUUUAAUAUGUUUCUACUGUAUGCUUCCUAAUUGGAUGUUUGAGUUGGUUUUUUGUGUAUCCAACAUACAGGUUUUCUUUCUUUGAGCAGCAUGUUAUGUCUACUUGAAGCUCUUAAUUGUGGUUAAUAAUUCUUGUUUGUUGCUGUUAUUGGUUUCUAAAGUUUUCUGGUAUUUUCAGUUGAUGAUGAGCACUGUUGAGGUUGGGGAGGAGCUGAUGCCUCAUAGGACUGAAGUAAACAUAUCAAGCAGUUGUGAACCUGCUCAAGUAAAUGAAGAAACUCUGGAAAUAGCACCCAUAAUGCCCACAAGGAAACUGUCCAGAAACCGUGGCUUGGUUUUACCUGAACAGUCAGUACAGGAAACUUCACUUGAGAAUGAAGAUGCUGAAGUAAGAGAUGCUGCCAUCCGUAAAGGGAAGUGUAAAGUAAGAUGAUACAGACUUAAGAGGGUUUUGUGGUGCUUCAGCUUCUCUUUGCAGCUUAGUUAGGAGAUGUCUAGAAAUUAGGAUGAUUUAAGACUGUACAUAGAUAGAAUUAAUUUUUUGGGUUUAGGCACGUACAUAGGUCCGUAUAUUUCGUUAUUUCAUUAUCAAAUAGAAAAUAAGAAUAUUCUUUAUAUUCCCACUAGUCCCUCCUUUUAUUUCCUCAAUUUUGUAGUAUUAUCCUUUUCUUUACCUAACAAAAAAAAAAAGAAAAAAAAGAAUUGGUGGUCGUGCAUUGUCAAAAUCCUAUUGACUUUUUCAACUCCUAAAUGAUAUAAAAAGAACAGAUAAUGAAAAAAGGUCUCGUCUAAAAUGAUGUAUGGAUUAGUCUUCAAUCCCGGCAGGCAUCAAAUGAGCUUUGUGAUAUGCAGCUGAAGCGGUUAAUAAGAAGAGCAAACAACAUCAUUUGUGCCAAAUAAAAUUUAUCACUGAUAUCUGCACGACAAUUAAAUUGAUGAUCAUUAACAUCUGGCUCUACUUAGGGAAUGUGAAGGUCCUAAAAUGUGAGGCUUUCAGCUCCAUCUCCCAUUGCAUCUAGACCAUUGUGGACAUAAAUAACAGCGCCAGUGAUUGCUGAAGCCAAAGACGAUGCUAGGAAAGCUGCGGCAUUCCCCACCUCCUCGGUUCCAUUAUAGGUUAAAAUGUUAUUUCGAUAAACAACCAGGUGCAAAUACAGAGCUUCAGUUAUUUGAUGACUCGCCUGCCGACAUCUCUUUCUGUAAGGAUGCAUUUUCCAGUGAGUAAUCAAUCAUGACAUCAAUAAAACCAAUUGCUUUUGGCAUGGCUAAAAAAUGUAAGGAAUGACAUUGUUAUGUUUGGUAAAAUAGCAUUAUAGGAACCCUUACAUAAGAAAAACUCAAAUCACUACAAUCAAUUGUUGAAAUGAAGCAGCUCUACAAAGCUAACAUGGACCAGUUUAGUGAGAUUAUAUUUCAUUGGUGAGAGGUAAUUGUUAACCUGUAGAUAUUGUGUUGACUCUAAUUUUAUGUUUUCUUCCAGCUUCGAGAGCCAGCACCUAAUCAAGGAAAGACAUUUCAUAGAUACGAUAUAUUCAUAAGAAACAUCUGUCGAAAGAGAAACAGAUCUUUAAGUAUCCUACGCAAAUAGUACUUGCACGCGUAUCACUCUCCAGAGCACUUCUUGCUAAGCUCAUACCUCCACCACAUCUGAACAAAAAAAUGUUCAGGAGGGGAAAAUCAGACAAUGAGAAACUUGAUCAUGAAAGCAAAUGGCGUUAAAAGCAGCAUACCCUGGAAUGAAGCUUUCAGAACCCAUGUACGUUAGAGAAAUUGAAGCACCACCUGUAAGUUACAACAGCCAGUUUAAAGUCUAGCAUGCUGUUGCAUUUCAGAUAUCAUCACGAGGAGAUGUAAUAUUAGGAAUCAUUAUUGGAACGAAAUCAAUUAACAAGUAAGAAAUUAUGAAUAAUCAAUUUGAUUAUUCAUUAUUUCAGUUUCUAAUAGAGGAUUUGCACAUUGUAAGAAAUGUGCCUGGAUUCAUUAUUGGAACGAAAUGCUUGAGUAAAGAAACAAAGGAGGUAGUCGAUGCAGAUCCGAGGUAUCCGUGCCUUGAUGUCUCCUAAAGAGGCUUGCUAACCUGUUCAUGAUUUCUUACAGUUGAGGUGCAUAGCAAACUCAAAAGUAACAGCACAAAAACGACAAAAAAAAGCCAAGAGCUGAACCUUGGGCCCAUUUACAAGUGAAUGGACAAGGAUAUCAAUGCUGCCAAAAUGCUGUUUUACAGAUUCAGCAAUCUCCUACGGGGACGGAAUUACAAAUUAGUCAAUCAUCGUGCUGUUUGUUAACUGUUUAUAUAGGAACUUUGGAAGAACAGGACAUCUUAUUCAAUUAUGGAAUUGAUCAUGAAGGUCAAUGAACAGAAACCUGUGGAAACAUAAAUGCGGACCCAAGAAAUAUAGGGAGGCAGUGUGUAACGAUCAAAAGAAAUGUUUGUUCCUAUAUGACCCCAAUAAUAUUGAUCCCCCAACACCGAGAGGGAAAUAAUAAAAACCUUAGAAUAAUGUACGCCAUUUAUAUGGUCAAAUGAAUUAUUAUUGCAUAUGGCACCUCAAAAUUCAAAAUUAUACACAAUUCCAUUAGCUGAAGAGCAUCACAGAAAAUGGUUUACAUGCCUCCCACGUUAUUUUGCACUUAAAAAUAAUGAUGUUAAUUUACAUCAGAGUUUAUGGAUAUCGCUUCUCUGAUGCACUUGAUCAUGUGCUUGUAAGAUAUACAUAAACGAUGGAUUAUUCCUGAACAGUCCAUUUUUGAGGACCUGCGUGUCGUUUGUUAUUUUUUACCUGCACAAAAUAGCAAAUAUGAGUAUAAUCAAGAAUUUUUUUUGUAAACUAAUUUAGUCGCAACACCCAUAACCAUCAUAAGAAGUAUCGUUACAUUUUUAGGAACAUCCUCAGGAUUAUCAUAAACUGCAUCCAGAGGGUAAACUUUGGAAAUUUCCAUCAACAAACCAUCUGGUAACCUGAAAUAUCAAAUUCAAACAUACCAAUGAGCAUAGACGCAAGGCAGUACAGUAAGGGGGUGUUUGGUACCCCCUCAUUACAGGGGAGUACAAUGCAGCCUCAUGUUUGGGGCACCAAGCACCCUAAUGGAGCAAGUUGGCGCAUUAACUAAACCCAACGUUACUAAAAAAUAGUUGGGUUUAGCUAAUACGGCUUGCCAUCUUUUUUUUUUUUCCCUUCUUAAAUUUUUCCCUGUUAAAUUAACUUUGUAAUAAUAAUAAAUAAAUAUAAUUUUUUAAUAUAAUAUAAUAUUUUAUUUUUAUUUGCAUAAUAUAAUUUUUAAUAUAAAUUAAUAGAUUUAAAAUUUAUUACUCAAUAAUAUUAUAUUAUAUUUUAAUUUUUACUAUACUAAAAAUAUAACUAAAUAAUAUAUUAUUUAAUUAUAUUAUAAUAGUUAAUAUAUAAAAUUGAUUAAUCUUUAAUAAGUUAAUAUAACAAAAAUUAUAAAUAUUUAAAUAUGAAUAAAUUUGAAUAAUAUUAAAUGAAAAUUAAUAAUAUAAACAAUUACUAGAUUAUUUAACACAAUCUAUUUUAUUAGUGAUCAUAUGUUACAACAAUUGUAUCACUUUAUUAUUUUGUGAUCAUCUUGUGGUAUAUAUAAACUUUUAUUCUAUCAUCCUAAGGUGAUUUUUCAACUAAUCUUGAAGAUUUUAAUUAUUUAUUUAUGUUGUUAUAUUACUUAGAGAUUAUUUGAUUAAAUUAUUUGUUUCGAUCUUUACUUCAUAGGUUAUAUGUUUACAAAAUACUGAAAAAUACAUUUUCGAAAACUUAAGGGUAUAAGCUUCGAUUUUUAUGAAUAAUUAUGAUAUUUUUAUUUAAAAUGUUAAAUUUCUAAAAUUUAAGACUUUUAUAUUUAGUAUUUUUCUAAGUACUAAUAAAUAAUAUUUUCUAAAUAUAUAAUUUAAAUUAAUCAUAAAAAAAUUAAUAUAGUAUUGUGCAGCACCAAAUCUAGUAUAAUUAAAAAUUAAUACAAUAUAGUGUAGCACUAAACAUUAUAUAAUAUUAUUAUAAUACAAUGUUAAUGCAAUACAAUAAUACACAUGUAUUAAAAUAAUACAAUAUAGCAUAACACAGUGUGUCAAAAAUAAGGAUUUGUGUAAUUACAAGCGUGAUUCGUCAAAUUUCCCAUGCCGCAGGCUGCUUUAAAAAAAUGUUUAACAGCCUGCAUAAAGCAAAAAUAGUUAGUUAGAAAACACAAUUUUGGCAGAACUCGAGCAUGUCUAUUGUCAUAAGAGAAUUAAGUUUGACUAUUUACAUAGAGGCACCUAUGUACCGAUGAGAACUUCAACACCCGUAGCUGCGAGAGAUUUUGCAAUUGCCCAACCGUAUCCAUUGUCAUCAGCGAUCGCAGCAAUAAAUGCUCGUUUAUCUGCCAACAAUUGUGUCAUUGAAAGAUGUUUGAAAUUGGCCAGUACUUGUAGCACAUAUAAACUCUAUUGCGAUUUCGCGAGGCAAUCCACAUUGAUGUAAUGAAAGUGAGGGGCCCACAACAAUGACAGUCCGCCCCGAAUAAUUGAUCCGUUUGCCAAGCCAAGUCUCACGAAAUCUUCCCUCUUUUCCUUCAAUUACAUCUGAAAAACGACUUAUAAAUCUUAUUAUAACCAUCCCUCAUUGACUGUCCACGGAUUCCAUUAUCAAGAAGUGUAUCCACAGCCCCUGUACAAAGCUUUUCUAGACGUCUUUCCUUCCAGAAACUCCUUUUAUCAUUUCGUCCAAGAGGAAUAAUUCCUCUAAUUCUAUGAAUGAUUGAAUUAAAAUUUUUGAACUAAGCCCCUCCAAAUCUAACUGGCUGGGUCCGCCUCGCUUAUUACCAAACUUGUCUAGUUCUUUGCAUCUGCAAGUUUGAAUUAAUGUGAAUGUACAUAUAACAUGUAAAAGAAAGAAUAUAUAUAUAUAUAUAUAUAUAUAUAUAUAUAUAUAUAUAUAUAUAUAUAUAUUCUUUUAUAUAUAAACUAUCCUUAAAUUUCUAGAUUUGUAAUUGUGACUUUUUAGAUGAUGAGACAAACGAAGGGAAAGAAUUUUGAUCGAGUUUAAUUGAAAGAGGACUGGACGUUUAAAGGAGGUGACGAGAGAGAGAAACGAAUGGUGAAAUGAUUAAAAAAAAUUUCCUUGUUAUUUUAGAUUAUGUCAUAUGUGGAAUAAAUAAAAUUGACCCACUAUAUUAAAAAAAAAAGUUAACAAAAGAUAUAUACCCCAUAAAAAAUAAUAAUUUUCCUUACGGGAAGGAAAUUAAGUAUUAUUUUUUGUGGUUCAUUUGCCUAAUCUAGGGCAAAGAGUAUUAGAUCUGUGUGCGUCUCUGUGUGGCAACAAAGUCACGAACCAGCAGCUACAAAGUCACGAACCGGCAGCUACGAAGUCAUGAACUGACAAUACGUAUAGGCACGUAUAAUAAUAAUAAUUGAGAUACUCGGUGUAAAAUUGAUGCAAUAUCUGUUGAUUGAAUUGCAUUAUACAUGAGCAUUUAAUACACAGGACAAUAAAUAAUUGUGACACGAGAUACAAACUAUAUAUCCAAAGUAAGUAUAAUAUUUAAUGUUUUAUUACACUUUCACACAUUUGGUGAACAUUUAUGUAUUAUUUUUAUGGUACUACAUUUUUUUAUUGUAUUAAAAAGAUUGCGUAUACACUCAUCUCCUUUUUCUAUAAAACCUCACACGUAGAACUCCAUCUUUGCAUCUUCACUUGAAAAUGUCGAAAAAUUCAGCCCAAUACUCAAAGCAAUACGGUAUUGGUAUUGAAAAAUUUCUUGUAGGGAAGAGCUUUUUUGUUACUGGGGCAACAGGGUUUCUCGCAAAGGGUAUAUUUUCAUUUAAGUUUUAUUUUUAACACACUAUUUUGGUUUUAUUUUGUGUGUGUGUGUGCGCGCGCGCGCACAUGCUUUUUUAUUACUAGGACAACAAGACUUCUUGCAAAGGGUAUAUAUAUUUUAAGUUUUAUCUUUAACACACUCUUUUUGUUUUAUUAUAUUUAUUAUUUUUAAAAAAAAUUGGGAAUUGUUUAACCCCUAUCUUUUCUAAAAUUCAAAUUUAGUGGCCAGCUAAAUAAAAUUACAUGAAAAUCAUUCGAUAAAACCUCUAAGACAAAGUAUUUUAGAACAUACAGUGUAGGAAUCGACGAGCUAUAACCUUGAAAUGUAUUAAUAUUAUUAUACUUUUCAAUUUUCUUUUUUCUUUUUCAGUUCUUAUAGAGAAGAUAUUACGAACAGCGCCUGAGGUGGGUAAGAUAUUUCUUUUGAUCAAGGCAGAAAGUGAAGAAGCUGCAUCGAAAAGAUUAAAAGAUGAAGUAUGUUUGUUAUAGACUUUUAAAUUUUACUGUUAAUUCACUAAUUUUUUAGAUUUUACUAUUUUGUCCCAAAUCUUUAAUUUCUUUAUUAUUAUUAUUUUUAUUAUUUUGGUUGUGCACUUUCAGGUCAUCAAUGCGGAACUUUUCAAGUGUCUUCAGCAAACCUACGGGGAAUGCUACCAAGAUUUCAUGUUAAAUAAAUUGGUUCCUGUGGUAGGAAAUAUAAGUGAAAGUAACCUUGGAUUAGAAGGAGAUUUGGCCAAAGUGAUCGCAAAUGAAGUCGACGUAAUUAUAAAUUCUGCAGCUAAUACAACCUUACACGAAAGGUUAUAAACUUAUAAUCAUUUAUGACCUUGAUUUAAUCAUAGUUAUAUCAAAUAGAAAGUGAUAUCAACUAACUAGUCUAGCUCUUCAACAAACUAGUGGUAGAUCUAUAAAAAUUUUAGAAAAUCUUUUUUAAAUUUCAGUUAAAAUUUUUAUUUGUCCUCAAUAAAAAUUGUGAUUUCUUUCCAUCGGUUUUGAAUAAUAUAUAUAAACAAAUAAGCUCAAAAGUAUAUUUUCAUUGUCAAAAUAUCUUUAAAGAAUACGUUAAAAUUUAAAAUUUUUUUUAAAAUACUUGAGAAAAACCUAAUUGUUUUACAGUAAAUUAAAUUUGUUCCUACUGAUCUUGAAAUCUGGGCAACGACACAAUAUAUAUUUUUAAAAAAUAUUGCACGUAAUUAUUUAGAUACAUAAUAUAAGUGGCAUCAUGUAGUUUAAUUUGAAAUUGCAGAUAUGACAUUGCUAUCGAUAUAAACACAAGAGGACCUUCCCAUGUCAUGAAUUUUGCGAAAAAGUGCAAGAAGAUUAAGGUUUUUGUGCACAUGUCGACAGGCAAGUGUCUAAAACCUAUAAUGUUCGCAGCAGUCAGCAAGAACCUAUGUGAAAAGAAAAUUGUAAUUUUGAUUUCCUUAAGCUUUUGCCUGAACUCGAGGACUAAAAUGUUGUUACCCUUCUUUCAAAAUUAUUUGCAGCAUAUGUUAAUGGAAAGAGACAAGGAAGGAUUAUGGAAAAGCCCUUCUACAUGGGGGAUACGAUAGCAAGGGAAUUAAACUUCAAUAACUCCAAAAUUGAACCAAAAUUGGACGUUGAAAAAGAAAUAGAGUUGGCUAUGAAAUCCAAAAAAGCCCUUGAAAAUGAUGAAGACGCUCGAAAGAAAAUGAAGGAAUUGGGUUUAGAAAGGUGAUAAAAUCCCCCUUCACUUUAAUAUUUUCUUUGUUUAGAUUUGUUGCUGCUUCGUAUAUGUAACAUCUAAUUGUUAAUUAGGGCAAGAAAAUAUGGAUGGGACGUCACAUAUGUUUUCACAAAGGCUAUGGGUGAAAUGAUGAUUGAUACCUUGAAAGAAAAUAUACCGGUUGUGAUCAUUCGACCUAGUAUGAUUCAGAGCACUUAUAAAAAACCAUUCGCUGGUUGGAUACAAGGAAAUAGGUAUCGGAAAUCAAUUUUUGUUGUAUGUACGUAUAUAUAUAUUGUUUCAGAGAAAUUUUUUAAUAUUAAUUGUUGGUUUAUAUACUCUCUUCUGUAAACUAUUAUCAUGUGUACUCUUAUAUAUCUUAGAUUCUUGUCAUGUGCAAAUAACCAAUGAAUUAAGAGUAAAUAUAGAUACAUGACACAGGAAAACCUAAAAUUAAUUUUUCCAUUAUUUAUAUAUGAGAUUUUAGAUAUCUUAUCUCCCUACCCUACUUCUUGAUUCACAGGAUCUUGGAUCUUAUGAUUUUGUACUAUGGAAGAGGGCAGCUAAACGAGUUUGUAGGAGACCCUAGUGGAAUAUUGGAUGUAGUAAGUAAUAUCAACCAUUUUACUCAAAUGGCUUUUUCAUUGGUGGACCAUGAUUUUGUACUCAUAUAAGUUUUAUUUUAGCAAAAUAGAAGGGAAUUUGCACAUGAUUGAUAGUUAAUUAAUUAAUAUAUAUGCAUAAAAUUUGACAUUUAUCCUAACCACUUAGUGAUAUUUUAGAAAAAUGUUAAAAAAAUUUACACAUGAUUGUUAGUGUUUUGUCAAUUUUGUUAUCCAAAUAUCAGUGCUCAUUAUUUUAACAUAAAUAUUGGCUGCUACAGGUCCCAGUCGACAUGGUUGUGAACGCAACGUUGGCAGCCAUCGCAAAGCAUGGACAAGUGGUCAUACAAAAACCAGAAGUCAAGGUCUAUCAAAUUGCAUCAUCUGUUACAAACCCAUUAGUUACCAAAUAUCUUUUGAGCCUUCUUCACGAACACUUCGAUUCCUCGCCUGUUCUGGACUCAAAGGGAAGCCCAAUCCGUGUUCCAGUAAUGAAGCUUUUCACUUCCAUGGAAGAUUUUUCAGCUCACCUUUUGGAUGGUGCCAUGCAGCGAAGCAUUAUUGGAUCUUCAAAUGGCGAGCUGCUGGCUCAGAAACAAUAUGAAAUUUUACGCAGAAAGGAGUUCGCUAAUGUAUACCUUCCAUACGGACUUUAUGCUGGAAGGUAAUAUUAACUAAUUAAUUUGAGGUUACUGCAUCAAUAUAUAACUCUAUUAUAAUUAUUCUUUGGCCUAAAGUAUUUUUUUUUUUUCAUGCAUGAUCUCCACGUGCCAGGUUUGAUUGCAGCAACACACUGGGGCUAAUGCAGAUCAUGAAUGAAGAAGAGAAGAAAAAGUUUGGAUUUGACAUGGGGAGCAUUGAUUGGAAGCAUUACAUUACAAAUGUUCACGUACCAGGCUUAAGGAGGCAUGUCAUGAAGGAAAAGAGAGGGGAGACAUUGGUGGGAGCUGGGAAUAAAAUUCCAGGGGGGCCAAAAUUUGAUAAAAGUAAACUUUAAGGAGUAAAGGUUAAAAAAUGCAUUUAAUUAUUGGGUUAAACUGCUAAAGUGUUAAACUUACGGGGGCCACAUUAAAAAAUAAAACUAUGUUCUCUGAGCUGAAUUUAUUAGCUCCGCCCAUGACGGGAGAUGUCUAGCUGCUGUCUAAUGACCAUGUGAAUCAUGUUUAGUCAUGUUACUACUGUACAUUAAUAUUUUGAUUUUUAAUAAUAAAUCUAUUCUUAUUAAAGGGAAAUAAUGAAAAAUAGGCCCUUCAAUUAAAUAAAUAAAUGUCAAUAAAUUAAUAAUGAUAAUUUCUACAUUUUUUAUUAAUUAAUCCUCAUUGUUAUGCAUUUACUCUAGAGGUGGUUGAUUUGAGUGAGUUAUUGGAGACUUGAUGCAUCUUUUGUGACCGGAGGAAGUAAUGCUUUUGGUCUAAAUGAUGUUUGGGCUAUAGAGGGAUUAAUGAAAGGGUGAAGAGAGCAAAAGACAAGAGGGUCGUUAGAGGAGAUACUUAACCAUAAUUAUGUAUUGAAUUUGAUUAAAUGUAUGUUAUUGUGCGUGGUAGAUCACAUUUUACCGAAUUAUUAAAAAUAUUGUAAGAUGUUAAUCAAUAAUAAGGUGACACAUGGUCAUCGCACGAUAUACUUGAUUGUGACUCAUUUACAAUUUAGGGGCAGUCCAAAAGAAUAAGAAUUAAUGAUAAUAAUGAUUAACAUGUUGAUUUAAUGUAAUUACAACAUAAGUAAUCCGCGGGGUGGAGAUGUCAAUCAUGGCGAAAAGGGGACAUGCAAACCUCUGAUGUAUCCCAAUUGCUGAGGUGUAGUCUAAGUUUGACUUUGACCAAUCCAGCUCAUUUGUCUUGUAACAUUAUUUAUUUAUUAAUUACAUUUUAUGUCUUUUUUUUUAAUCUCAUUAAUGUCGUAUACAAUUUGCUUGUACACGUAGUAUUCAAAAGCACUAAAUGACCUAUUUGAACUUAAAUUCAUCAAGUCAAUUGCUUAAAAAAAUAAUAAAUUCAUAAUUAAUACUCUUAAUUUUAAUUUUUAUUUAUUUUAAAUAUGCUUAAAGCUAGCACUUGCUUGCACCUAUACAUUUGUGAUCAGAUUUGCGCUGAGAAGAAGAAAUUUGGAUAACAUAUAUCAUAAAGAAAAGCAAAAGAAAAAAAGAAAGUUAUUGAGGAAUUCUACUAUUUAUUUUUAUUUAAUUAUAAAUUUCGUAUCUAAGCUAUGUGCUGCCAAACUUCGAGCUACUAGCUAGAAAAAAUGUGGAGGACCCAGUAGUUCCUAUCACGAUUAAUUGUAAUUUUUGAAGUAAAGAUAUUAAUAAAGAAAUGACUCAUUACAAAUUCUUUCAAAUCACCAAUAUGGAUAAGACGAAUAGAAAUGAAUUCUGGGGGUGCCUCCCAACUUGAUACGAUCAUAGUCAUAGAUAUCAUUAUCCCCACAGUUCACAGCAUUUGUGUAUGCUUUAAAUAGCUUUUAUAUAUUCUCAUAACAAUAAAAUUGAUCAAGUUAACACAAUACAUUAUUUGGUCUGACCAUUAACUCAUCAUGGGUCCAUGGCCAUGACCAUUUUACUCAUCAAGUGCACCAAUAAAAGAACAAAUUGGUAUGUAUGUAUGUAUGUAUGUAUGCAUACACACUCACUUAAAAUUCUUAUGCAAUAUUAGAUGUAAGGUUGAAGUUGGAACAAGUGGUUGGCUCGAACAGUAGUGAGUUGCCGAGCCAAGUCUUGAAGUGUGCUAAAUCAAACUGAAGCAGAUUAUUUUCCAGCUGACGCCCGCCAAUGACAAUGGAAGUUCGAGGGUUUACUCCUCCAUCCACAAACCUUAAGCACAGCACAUCAUUUCCAAUCUGCACCAUUGAGUUUUGUCCAUGGACACUCCAAACCACGUACUUAUUGUGGAAAACAAGAUCGAUUUGAGGCACAAAUGGCCCUAUACGGGUAAAGCCAAUGUCUUCCAAUAGUAUCGAUCCCCCAACACGGAGAGGGAAAUAAUAAAAACCUUACAAUAAUGUACGCCAUUUACAUGGUCAAUUGAAUUAUUAUUGCAUAUUAAUUUAUUCACGAUAGUUUGUAAAAGAAGUUUGUAUCCCUUACAUGCUGCGUUACUUACUAAUUUAAUGUAUGUGACUUUUGUAAUGGAUAUUAAUGUAAGAUAUAUUUCAAACUUUACUUUUAUUUGAAUUUUUUAUUUUAAUAUGAUUAACUCAAAAUCGAAAACAAAAAAUGUAUUAGUUAUUCGGGGAUCGGGGACCCUUGGGGAUCCCCUGUUAUUAUUCGGGGAGAGGAUGAAAAUUCUCUCAAGUAAUUCUGACGGGGACGGGGAGGGGACGGGGACAUACGCAAAAUAUCAGGGAUGGGUAUGGGGAGAUUGGUCCCCUCCCCUCCCCUCCCCAUUGCCAUCCAUAUUAUUGCAUAUGGCACCUCAAAAUUCAAAAUUAUACACAAUUCCAUUAGCAGAAGAGCAUUACAAAAAAUGGUUUACAUGCCUCCCACGUUAUUUUGCACUUAAAUAAUGAUGUUAAUUUACAUCAGAGUUUAUGGAUAUCACAUAUGAUUCACUUGAUUAUAUGCUUGUAAGAUAUACAUAAACGAUGGAUUAUACCUGAACAGUCCAUUUUGAGGACCCUGCACCAUUGAGUUUUGUCCAUUUUCCAAUUUGCACCAUUGAGUUUUGUCCAUGGACACUCCAAACCACGUACUUAUUGUGGAAAACAAGAUCGAUCUGAGGCACAAAUGGCCCUAUGCGGGUAAAGCCAAUGUCUUCCAAUAGUAUCGAUCCCCCAACACGGAGAGGGAAAUAAUAAAAACCUUAGAAUAAUGUACGUCAUUUACAUGGUUAAUUGAAUUAUUAUUGCAUAGGGAUGGCAAAAAUUCCCACGGGGACGGGUACCCUCGGGGAUUUUUCCCAUUCGGGGAGGGUAUGAGGAUAAUUUCAUACCCAAUUUCUUAUUCGGGGAAGGGACGGGGAAAUUUUUUUACCCAAUUUCUUAUUCGGGGAGGGGACGGGGAUGAGGUGGAAUCCCCAUCCCCUACCCAUUUUCCCAUUUUAAUUUUUAAUUUAAUUUUUAUUUUUUUAAAUUACUAGUAAAUAAAUAAUAAUAUUUGAAUUAUAAAAUUAUAAAUAUUGGUAAAAAUAACAAAUAUCAAAAUAUUUAUAUUAUUAAACUUUUAGGCCUAAUUAAAGUCCUAAAUUUUUAUUUAGGACAUUAAAAAAUCGGGUAAAUUCUAUUAGCCCAAAAAUUUUGUUUUAAUUUUAAUAUUCAUUAAAUGUUUUAAACUUAAAUAUAUUUUUUAUUUAUUUUUAGAUGUUAUAAUUGCCCACAGCGAAUCACAAUUUUAAUUUCUAAUUUAAUUUAAUCUAAUAUUAUAUUUGUUCUUGAUUUGCUCCGACUUAACUAUUGUGCUGUAAAGGGAAUAGUCCACAUUUAUAAAGUGCUCACGCCACCAUUGAAAAAGUUAAUUUUGAAUCUAAAUUCGAUUUUAUUUAUAACAAUUUUGUAUUAGACUAUUAAUUUAUUCACGAUAGUUUGUAAAAGAAGUUUGUAUCCCUUACAUGCUGCGUUACUUACUAAUUUAAUGUAUGUGACUUUUGUAAUGGAUAUUAAUGUAAGAUAUAUUUCAAACUUUACUUUUAUUUGAAUUUUUUAUUUUAAUAUGAUUAACUCAAAAUCGAAAACAAAAAAUGUAUUAGUUAUUCGGGGAUCGGGGACCCUUGGGGAUCCCCUGUUAUUAUUCGGGGAGAGGAUGAAAAUUCUCUCAAGUAAUUCUGACGGGGACGGGGAGGGGACGGGGACAUACGCAAAAUAUCAGGGAUGGGUAUGGGGAGAUUGGUCCCCUCCCCUCCCCUCCCCAUUGCCAUCCAUAUUAUUGCAUAUGGCACCUCAAAAUUCAAAAUUAUACACAAUUCCAUUAGCAGAAGAGCAUUACAAAAAAUGGUUUACAUGCCUCCCACGUUAUUUUGCACUUAAAUAAUUAUGUUAAUUUACAUCAGAGUUUAUGGAUAUCACAUAAUGAUUCACUUGAUUAUAUGCUUGUAAGAUAUACAUAAACGACAGAUUAUACCUGAACAGUCCAUUUUGAGGACCCUGCAUAGCGUCUGUUAAUUUUACCUACACAAAAUAGCAAAUAUGAGUAUAAUUAAGAAUUUUUUGUAAACUAAUGUAGUCGCUACACCCAUUAGCAUCAUUAGAAGUAUCAUUACAUCUUCAGAAACAUCCUCAGGAUUAUCAUAAACUGCAUCCAGAGGGUAAAUUUUAGAAAUUUCCAUCAAUGAACCAUCUGGUAAUCUGAAAUAUCAAAUUCAAAGUAGCAAUAAGCAUAAACUCAAGGUAGUAAAAUAAGUUCAUGUGAUAGCAUGUAAUUCAAAAAAAGGAUUUGUGUAAUUACAAGCGUGAUUCGUCAAAUUUCCCACACCGCACGCUGCUUUCAAAAAUGUUAAGAGCCUGCAUAAUGCGAAAAUAGUUAGUCUACUGUCAUUAGACAAUUAAGUUUGACUAUUUAAAUACAGGCACCCAUUUACCAAUGAGAAUUUCAGCACCCGCAGCAGCAAGAGAUAUUGCAAUUGCCCAACCGUAUCUAUUGCCAUCAGCAACCCUAGCAAUAAAUGCUCGUUUACCUGCUAACAAUUGUCUCAGUGUAAGAUGUUUGAUAUUGGCCAGUAAGAUUAGCACAUAUAAGGUAUAGGAACUAGUGAAAGUGCAAGAGGCAAAGAAUCACAACAAUGAAACAUGACUCUGACAAACAUGAACGCAUGAUAUAGCACAAAGACAAUUGGGAACACAGAGAGCGGUACGACCUCUCAAAUCCACAGGCAAUCCUGAUAAAGGCUUGUCCUCAUCUAAGCUCUUAUAACAACCUUUACAGAUUUAACAGGACCUGAUGUGAAGUUCCUGUGCAACUGCUUUGUUGUUGAGAACCAAGUUUCAAGCCUUUUAGGAGAUGACUUUUCAUACUUUGUAGCGAAAGUUGCUUUGCUUGACAUAAAAUUUUUAGUAGAAAAAGAAAUGCAAGAAUGCGUUGCCGCAGACAUUUUGAAUAACUUAAAUCAACAAAGAUUCUUCAAAUUCAGUUGAAAAUGUCACUGCAAGUAAACAACACAACAUUACGCUAAUUCAUCACAUAAAUGCGUAUGACAAAUAUAAUUUUCAUCUAUAUAGAAUGAAGAUCAGGUGCGUGCUCGCACUAUAAGCUGCGUGACUCUAUGCAUCUGAUCAACUCCCCCGACUCUCUCUAUUAUAUAUAAUUUAUUUUCAGGUGCGGAUGUCUGUAUAAAUUUUCGUGCGAAUAUGCACUAGAAAAUGACUAUAUCAAUCAAUAUAUGUGCGUGUGUGAAUGCCUUAAGUAGAAAUUAAAAUGUUAGAGACCUUCCAAUAUGAACAAUGAUUGAUCUUCAUCGUUGAUUUAACAUCAUGCUCAAGCAUCAAUUCAAUCAAAUUUAGCAAGAGAUAAUCUACAUAAUGCUGUAUGAAUUAUUGAAAAAAGAAAAUACCGUAUCAAAAUCAAACACAUUUCACAGAAAGCAUAGCAUAUCAAAAGAGAAGAACCCAAAUAAAUCUUAAAAAUCAUUGAUAUAUAAUUUCGUACAUUAUUCAUAGAAAUAUCAAACACUCACCCACUGUAACGCCUAGAUUUUCGGCUAGAAAAUGGAUACUUGAAAGGGAGAAAAUAUUGGGUUCAAUAAUUUAUUUUUAUGUUACGUGUGUGUUAAGUGUAAAUUAGUUUCGAUAAUUUAAUUUUAUAUUACGUAUGCGUUAAGUGUAAAUUAGUUUCGACUAUGAGGGAUUUGCACCGGAUAUGAUUCAAUAAUGCUUAAAUGCCAAGUACAUGAUUCAUUACUUCCAAUGUUACGAAUAUGAUAGAAUCUGAAGCGAAGUUACCCGAAUACGCUUUUAUUUAAUUCAACUUAAUAUUUUCCAAUUGAGUUAUAGACUUCUAGACUUAUAUUGUUCUAGACUUGUCUAGUAGUCAAGAAGUAUGGCAUUUUCACAUAAUUAUAUUUUAUUAAAUUUUUUAUUGUAAAAUCGGCAAAUGACCGAAGAGAUUGGAUGUAAAAUUCUAUAUUUUUUAAAUUCAAAACUUCUAACUUUACAUUCACUAAAAUUCUAGACUUCUCGACUCGAGACUUGUCAAAAAAUCUAGAAGUCGAGAAGUCUAAAUUACAAUAUGAAACUUACAUUCUAACACUAAACUCAUUUAUCAACAAUUAACAAAAUAAAUCCCACAAAAAAAAUGAUAUGUUACAUGUACAUUUAAAUAUACUUCAUAAAUUUUUAUAAGAAAAAAAUACUAAAUCAAAAACAUUUAUCACUUAUAAUUUCACCAUUUUUAUCUAUUUAGUUGUAGUAAAUAAAACAAAAACUCAAACUCAAACUCAAAAGACUAAUUUUAUGAUAAAUAUUAAAGAAAAAUACAAGCUUUUUAGAAUUGAAUGUGAUUUUUAAAUUAUUUUGGGAUAUUUUUGUUGAACAAAAAUAUUAAAUUUUGCGUGAAAUUUAAUAGAGAGAUAUUAAAUUUUUUGUAGACAUAGAUUGUUCUUGAUGAAGAUUUUAGGGUAAAAUACCACCAAAAUGUCAUAUACAUUGCAUUCUAAAAAUAUUAUCAUAUUUAUGAAAAGUGAAAACAAGUUUGUCAUGUAUAAAUAAAGAGUAGUGUUACACAUUCUAAAUUUUUUUAUCCUAAAAAAAUAUUUUAAAUAGUGUGGCAUUCAUCAAUUGGUAUGGAUAAUACAAUUAAUUCACUUGGAUCUUAUAAAAAAUUAUUAACCACUCAAUUAAUGAAACAUCGCUUGAAAUUAACAAAAUAUUUAGGUUGUCUAUCAUUACUCAUCAGAAAAAAAAAACCAAGUUUUAUUUAUUAGUCGGUUUUGUUGUUUGAUGAUUGUUCGUUAACAGUUGCAUGGCAACUUUCGGAAUGUCGAAGAGAGGUUGUUUCGUUUGUUGAGCUGUGUUUCAAACACAGUGUUUGGCUUUUUGGCGCCCAUGGUAUAUUCCAAGAAGCCCUCACAACAUGGCUUGUAGGAUUUCACAAAGGCCCUAGUAUUUGAAGUUAUUUCCUUUGUAUGAACUCUUUGAGGAAAUAAGAGAAAAUAAUCCCGGGAACUGAGGCACAUGACAUGAACGCUUAUUACCAGGCUAAGGCUUAUAUAGUUAUCUGCAUCCGUGAGUUUGAAUUGUUUUGAAGACAGAUGGUUGAAUGACAUGGAUAAUAUUAUAAUAUAAAAAAAUUGUAAAUAUAUAUGAAAAAAAGGUAAAAGUCUAUUAGUUCCUAUAUUUUGGAAGUUAGUAUGUGCGUAGCCCAUGUUCAUUUAAAGUACUUCAAAACAUCUCCGUCAUUAAACCAGUGAUACACCUGUUAUUAUUUUUUUUUCUUUUUUGACUUACUUUUACAAUAUUAUUCUCUUACAAUAAUUCUUUUGGGACAUUAAUAAACAAAUUAAAUUAUCAAUUUAACUUCAAAAAUAAAAUAAAAAUAAAAAGAAUAUAUAUUAAUUUUUGUAGAAUACUUUACUAAGGAGUUAAUAUACUAAUUUUUUUAUUAAUAUUUUUUGGACAUACGUGAGCUUCCACAAAAAUUAACAAAUAUUCUUUUUUUAAUAUUUUUUGGGGUUAAAUUAGUAAUUUAAUUUUUUUCUUUCUAUUAAUGUCAAAAACUUAUUGUAAAAGGGUAAUAUUAUACAAACAAGCCAAAACGAACAAAAGAUAACGGUAGAGAUGUCAAUAGUUUAAUAACAAUGAAUUUUUAAGGUAUUUUUAAAAAUACAAAGACUGAACAGGCCACUAACAUUAAAAUAUAUGGAUUGAACGAACUUUUACUCUUAAAAAAAGUAUCCUUAAAUCUUCAAACUUACAAUUGUGGCUUGUACAUGAUGAGACAAAAGAAAGGUAAUGAAUUUUGAUAAGAGCAUAAACACAAGAGGAUUGGAUGUUUAAAGGGGAGCGACAAGAGAGAGAAACAAUGGGCAAAAAGAUUUUCUUAUUAUUUUGGAUUAUGUCAUAUGUGAAAUAGAUAAAAUUGACCUACUAUUAGAAAAAAAAAAUAGUUUAUGAUUUGGAUUUAGUGCUAAGUUGAUUUGUGCUCAACUCUUCAUAAUUUUCUAUCACUUAUACAUAUAUAACAAUAUAUAGUUAGAAUUUAAUUAAACUUAUGUUCUUAUCCAAUAACAACUAAUUGUAUCUUUCGAAAAAGUUAGCAAAAAAAAUAAAAUUAGCUCGAUACUAAAUCCAAAUCUUAAUUGCCUAAUCUAAGGCAAGAGUACUAGAUCCAUGUGUGGCAACAAGGUCACAAACCAACAGCUCCAAAGUCACAAACCGACAACUAUGAAGUCACGAACCGACAACACAUCUAGGCAUGUAUAAUAAUAAUAACAUUGUCCUUGUCGUCAAAUUCACCUCAAGAGAAUACCCAAUGAAAAUUUUCUUAUAUUUACUCAACUAGAUAUUAAGUUUGUAUCAAAAUUGAUGUGAUUUCUGUUGAUUGAAUUGUGUUAUAUAUACAUGAGCGUUUAAUAUGUAGGACAAUAAAUAAUUGGGAGGCACACAUCAAUUGAGAUACAAAGCGCAUAUUCUAAAUAAGUAUAAAUUAAUGUUUUAUUAAAUGUUCAAAUUUGGUGAACAUUUAUGUAUAAUGUCUAGGGUACCACAUUUUUUUAUUAUAUUAAAAUGAUUGCGUAUACGCUCAUCUCCUUUUGCUAUAAAACAUCGAACGUAGAACUCUAUCUUUGUAUCUUCACUUGAAAAUGUCAAAAAAUUCAAGCCAAUGCUCAAUGCAAUAUGGUAUUGGUAUUGAAAAAUUUCUUGUAGGGAAGAGUUUUUUUGUUACUGGGGCAACAUGGUUUCUCGCAAAGGGUAUAUAUCCUUUAAGUUUUAUCUUUAACACACUUAUGUGUGUGUGUGUGUAAAAGCUUUUUGGUUACUGGGACAACAAGGUUUCUUGCAGAGGGUAUAUAUAUCUUUUAAGUUUUAUCUUUAACACAUUCUUUUUGUUUUAUUAUAUUUUUAAUUUUUUUUUUAAGUUUGGAAAUUUUUUACCCCCUACCUUCUUUAGGAUUCAAACUUAGGUGGCUGGAGUUUUGAAUUCAAAUAGCCAGCCAAAUAAAAUUAUAUGACAAUCACUCGAUUAAGUUCUUAAGACAAAGUUUUAUCUUUGAACUCGUGCAUAUUUAUUCUGGAACGUAUAGUAUAGGAACCGACUAGCUAUAACGUUGAAAUGUAUUAUUAUUAUAAUUUUUAAUUUUUUUCUUUCUCAGUUCUUAUAGAGAAGAUAUUAAGAACAGUGCCUGAGGUGGGUAAGAUAUUUCUGUUAAUCAAGGCAGAAAGUGAAGAAGCUGCAUCGGAAAGAUUGAAAAAUGAAGUAUGUUGGUUAUAGAGUUAUAACUAUUUACUGUUAAUUCACUAGUUUUUUAGAUUUUACAAUUUGGUCCCAAAUCUUCAAUUUCUUUAUUAUUAUUAUUAUGUGGUUGUGUACUUUCAGGUCAUCAAUGCAGAACUUUUCAAGUGUAUUCAGCAAACUUAUGGGGAAUGCUACCAUGAUUUCAUGUUAAAUAAAUUGGUUCCUGUGAUAGGAAAUAUAAGUGAAAGUAACCUUGGAUUAGAAGGAGAUUUGGCCACUGUGAUCGCAAAUGAGGUCGACGUAAUUAUAAAUUCUGCGGCUAGCAUAACCUUUCAUGAAAGGUUAUAAUCAUUUAUGAGCUUAAUUUAUUCAUACUUAUAUAAUAAAUAGAAAGUGAUAUCAGUUAACGAGUCUAUCUCUUCCACAGACGUGUGGUAGAGCCAUGAAAUUUUCAGAAAACCUUUUUUAAAAUUCAAUUAAAAUUUUUAUUUGUCCUCAAUAAAAAUUGUGAUUUAUUUCCAUCGGUUUUGAAUAAUAUAUAUAAACAAAUAAGCUCAAAUUUAUAUUUUCAUUGUCAAAAUCUCUUUAAAGAAUUUGUUAAAUUUAAAAUUAUGUAAACAUACUUGAGAGAAAAAUCUAAUUUUUUACAGUAAAUUAAAUUUGUUCCUACUGAUCUUGAAAUCUGGCAACGCCAUAAUAUAUAUAUUUUUAAAAUAUUGUACGUAAUUAUUUAGAUAUAUAAGUGGCAUCACAUAUAUAGUUUAAUUUGAAAUUGCAGAUAUGACAUCGCAAUCGAUAUAAACACAAGAGGACCUGCCCAUAUCAUGACUUUUGCCAAAAAGUGCAAGAAGGUUAAGGUUUUUGUGCACGUAUCAACAGGCAAGUGUCUAAAACCUAUAAUGUUCGCAGCAGUCAGCAAGAACCCGUGUGAAAAGAAAAUUGCAAUUUUAUUUUCCUUAAGCUUUUGCCAGAAAUCGACGACUAAAAUGUUGUUACCCUUCUUUCAAAAUUAUUUGCAGCAUAUGUUAAUGGAAAGAGACAAGGAAGAAUUAUGGAAAAGCCAUUCUGCAUGGGGGAUACAAUAGCAAGGGAAUUAAACUUCAGUAACUCCAAAACUGAAACAAAAUUGGACGUUGGAAAAGAAAUAGAGUUGGCCGUGAAAUCCAAAAAAGCCCUGGAAAAUGAUGAAGAUGCUCUUAAGAAAAUGAAGGAAUUGGGUUUAGAAAGGUGAUAGAAUUCCUCUCUUGUCUUUAUUAUUUUCUUUGUUUAGAUUUGUUGCUGCUUCAUUUAAUUAACAUCUAAUUGUUAAUUAGGGCAAGAAAACAUGGAUGGCAAGACACAUAUAUUUUCACAAAGGCUAUGGGUGAAAUGCUGAUUGAUACCAUGAAAGAAAAUAUACCGAUUGUAAUCAUUCGACCUGGUAUUAUUGAGAGCACUUACAAAGAACCAUUCCCUGGUUGGAUCGAGGGAAAUAGGUAUCGAAAAUAAACAUUCUUUGUGUGUGUAUAUAAAUUGUUUAUGAGAAAGUUUAUGAUAUUAAUGGUAUAUACGGACGCUUAUCAUGUGUACUUUUAUAUAUCUUAGAUUCUUAUCAUGCGUAAUAACCAAUAAAUUAAGAGUAAAUACACCGACAUGACACCAUAAAACCAAAAAUUAAUUUUUCCAUUAUUUGAAUAUGAGAUUUUAGAUAUCUUAUAUCUUUUCUUCUUGAUUCGUAGGAUGUUGGAUCUUAUUGUUUCGUACUAUGGAAAAGGGCUAGCUAAAUGGGUUUGUAGGAGACCCUAGUGGAAUAAUUGAUCUAGUAAGUAAUAUCAACCGUUUUAUUCAUGUGGCUUUUUCACGGUGGACCAUGAUUCUGCACUCAUCUAAGCUAUUGAUAAUUAAUAAGGAUACAUAUACAUAUACAUACACACACACAUAUACACACACAUACAUACAUACAUACAUACAUAUACAACUUACUGAUAUCUUAACUAUUUGCUGUCAUUGUAGAAAAAUGUUAAAAAAAAUUAAAGAGUAAUAAAAUGUUGAUAAAAUAAAUUAUAACAGAGCAUGCUAUUAUAGUGUUAAUUAAUUAUUUUGUCUACCAUCGUAUGAUAUUGUAAUUCAUUUCGUCAGUGUUUUUGUCAAUUUUUUUAUCCAAAUGUCAGUGCUCACUACUUUAACAUGAAUAUUGGCUGCUGCAGGUCCCAGUCGACAUGGUUGUGAACGCAAUGUUGGCAGCCAUUGCAAAGCAUGGACAGGCGAUCAUACAAAAACCAGAAAUCAAGGUCUAUCAAAUCGCAUCUUCUGUUACAAAUCCGUUAGUUAUCAAAUAUUUUACGAGCCUUCUUCACGAACACUUCGAUUCCUCGCCUUUUUUGGACUCAAAGGGAAGCCCAAUUCGUGUUCCAUUAAUGAAGCUUUUCACUUCCAUGGAAGAUUUUUCAGCUCAC
rnacentral:lncRNA from 1 species